UACGUAGGGGGCAAGCGUUGUCCGGAAUCAUUGGGCGUAAAGAGCUCGUAGGCGGCUUGUCGCGUCGACCGUGAAAACUUGGGGCUCAACCCCAAGCCUGCGGUCGAUACGGGCAGGCUAGAGUUCGGUAGGGGAGACUGGAAUUCCUGGUGUAGCGGUGAAAUGCGCAGAUAUCAGGAGGAACACCGGUGGCGAAGGCGGGUCUCUGGGCCGAUACUGACGCUGAGGAGCGAAAGCGUGGGGAGCGAACAGG
rnacentral:rRNA from 1 species